rnacentral:rRNA from 1 species
UCAAGCUACUAAGGGCACACGGUGGAUGCCUUGGCACUUCGAGGCGAUGAAGGACGUGGCAAGCUGCGAUAAGCUGCGGUUAGGAGCAAGCAUCCUUUGACCCGCAGAUCUCCGAAUGGGGGAACCCACAUGAGCAAAACUCAUGUAUCCCCGCCUGAAUACAUAGGGCGGGAGAAGCAAACCCAGGGAAGUGAACCAUCUCAGUACCUGGAGGAAGAGAAAACAACAGUGAUUCCGCUAGUAGCGGCGAGCGAACGCGGAACAGCCUAAACCACAAGGGCAUGCUCUUGUGGGGUCGUGGGAUCAGAGUUAGGAGUUACAAAAGCUCAGGUUAGCGGAACGGUUUGGAAAGGCCGACCAUAGAACGUGAUAGUCGUGUACGCGAAAACUUUGAGCUCUCCGUUAUGCUUUGACACCCGAGUAAUGCGGGACACGAGGAAUCCUGCAUGAAUUUGCCGGGACCAUCCGGUAAGGCUAAAUACUCCGAAGUGACCGAUAGUGAACCAGUACCGUGAGGGAAAGGUGAAAAGAACCCCGGUGAGGGGAGUGAAAUAGUACCUGAAACCGUGUGCUUACAAGCAGUGGGAGGUCAAGGUUCGUCCUGACUGACCGCGUGCCUUUUGCAUAAUGAGCCGGCUAGUGAAUGUCACAGGCAAGGUUAAACGAUAAGUGAGCCGAAGCGAAAGCGAGUCCUAAUAGGGCGUUCAGUCUGUGGUAUUCGGACGUGAAGCGAGAUGAUCUAUGCAUGGCCAGGCUGAAGCGUGGGUAACACCACGUGGAGGGCCGAACCAGUUUGGGUUGAAAACCAUUUGGAUGAGCUGUGCAUAGGGGUGAAAGGCUAAUCAAAUUUCGUGAUAGCUCGUUCUCGCCGAAAUAGCUUUAGGGCUAGCCUCGGAUGAAUCGUCGCGGUGGUAGAGCACUGAAUGGGCUAGGGGCCUCACAAGGUUACCGAACCCAAUCAAACUUCGAAUGCCGCGAACGCAUAUCCGGGAGUCAGACUACGGGGGCUAAGCUCCGUGGUCGAGAGGGAAACAGCCCAGACCGACAACUAAGGUCCCAAAAUCGUGGUUAAGUGGAAAAGGAAGUAGGGAAGCACUGACAGCCAGGAGGUUGGCUUAGAAGCAGCCAUCCUUUAAAGAAAGCGUAAUAGCUCACUGGUCAAGCAGCCCUGCGCCGACAAUAUAACGGGGCUCAAACCACGUACCGAAGUUUCGGAUUCAUGUAGCAAUACAUGGAUGGUAGGCGAGCAUUCCGUAGCUGUGAAGCGGUACCGAAAGGGCCGUUGGAGCGAUCGGAAAAGACUCUGUCGGCAUAAGUAGCGAUAACGCGGGUGAGAACCCCGCGCGCCGUAAACCUAAGGUUUCCUGAGUAAAGUUAAUCUGCUCAGGGUUAGUCGGUACCUAAGGCGAGGCCGAAAGGCGUAGUCGAUGGAAAUCCGGUUAAUAUUCCGGAACCACUAACGUGUGCUGUGGGAGGACGCAGUAGGGUAGGCGAGACGGCGGAUGGAUGUGCCGUUGAACUCACCAUAGCCCGCCGCUCAGGCAAAUCCGGGCGGCAUCAGGGUAAAGGUAGGGACGAAAGUAGGGGUAAAACCCGAAAAAAGUCGCUGACCCCAGCUGCCAAGAAAAUUCUCGUUCAGCUAUACACGCGACGUGACCGUACCGCAAACCGACACAGGUAGGUGGGGUGAGAAUCCUAAGGCGCUUGUGAGAACUCUCGUUCAGGAACUCGGCAAACUAGCCCCGUAACUUCGGGAAAAGGGGUGCCAUCCUCCGGGAUGGUCGCAGAGAAAUGUCCCAGGCGACUGUUUACUAAAAACACAGGUCUCCGCAAAGUCGUGAAGACGACGUAUGGGGGCUGACGCCUGCCCAAUGCUGGAAGGUUAAGAGGAGUGGUCAGCCGCAAGGCGAAGCUACGAAUCGAAGCCCCAGUGAAUGGCGGCCGUAACUAUAACGGUCCUAAGGUAGCGAAAUUCCUUGUCGGGUAA